rnacentral:lncRNA from 1 species
AAAUGAAACAAUCACUGUUCACAGCCUCAUCCUACAGAGCAUUCAGAAACCACUUCCCCUAGAGAUCUUUAAAAAUAGACCUGAAAACAGGCCUCUGCCGCCUUGAGGGCUUUGGGGUGGGUCCUGCCUCGAAGCCGAGGAGGCUCUGACGGAGCCGGGGGCUUCUCUAUCCUGGACUGCAGUCUCGGAACUCUGCCUUCAAGAUUCCAUCAGAUCCUGAGGGCAGCUGGAGUCACUGAAUCCUGAAUGACUUGAAAACAAAGGCUUCUGUGAUCAAUAUUUUAUGUCAAACAUCCUGUGAGAAUGAAGGGCCCUUCUAUGCUUCACCAUUUUAACCUCUCAUUUGGAAAAGCAAAAAGGCCUGAGAGAAGCUGCGUUCGCAAAAUCUCUCCUGGAUGACUUGUUCAGAAGCCAAUUCAGUAAAUUCAAACUGUUCCAGAGUCCCCUUUUGAAAACCACAGAUGCCGUGGACCCACUAAGGUUGAGCUGUGCUGCGGUGAAGUGUUUUGUGUUCUUUGUGUAAUGAAACUCCCCAGAUAAAGGACUUGGAAUUGAGCUUUUGAACUACAGAUGGUCGUGUUCCAGUGAGGGUCCUGGCUACUUAGUUCCCAGAAUCCUUGACCCUGGGCCUGUGAAUUCCUCAUUCUGAGAGGGUCUGGAUGAUGUUAGUGGAUACUACGCUGUUUCCAAGUAGAUAGCUGGAGCCUCCAGCUGAUAGACCCAAGGGUCAAAUGGUCUGGAAGUGGAGUGCGUGAGGGAGAGGACUGGC